rnacentral:rRNA from 1 species
UACGUAGGGGGCAAGCGUUGUCCGGAAUCAUUGGGCGUAAAGCGCGUGUAGGCGGCCCGGUAAGUCCGCUGUGAAAGUCCAGGGCUCAACCCUGGAAUGCCGGUGGAUACUGUCGGGCUCGAGUCCGGAAGAGGCGAGUGGAAUUCCUGGUGUAGCGGUGAAAUGCGCAGAUAUCGGGAGGAACACCAAUGGCGAAGGCAGCUCGCUGGAACGGUACUGACGCUGAGGCGCGAAAGCGUGGGGAGCGAACAGG